UCAGAAUGAACGCUGGCGGCGUGCUUAACACAUGCAAGUCGAACGAGAANUUCUCUUCGGAGAGCGAGUAGAGUGGCGCACGGGUGAGUAACACGUGGAUAAUCUACCUUUGAAUCUGGAAUAACCUUUCGAAAGAAAGGCUAAUACCGGAUAAGGUCAAGAUACCCCUGCGUGUUUUGAUGAAAGUCGGCCUCUGAUUCAAGCCGAUGUUUGAAGAUGAGUCCGCGCACCAUUAGCUUGUUGGUGGGGUAACGGCCUACCAAGGCAACGAUGGUUAGCUGGUCUGAGAGGAUGAUCAGCCACACUGGAACUGACACACGGUCCAGACUCCUACGGGAGGCAGCAGUGAGGGAUUUUGCGCAAUGGGGGAAACCCUGACGCAGCAGCGCCGCGUGAGUGAAGAAGGCCCUUGGGUCGUAAAACUCUGUCAACAGGGAAGAAGUUGACGUGUAUUAACAGUAUGCGUCAUUGACGGUACCUGUGAAGGAAGCACCGGCUAACUCCGUGCCAGCAGCCGCGGUAACACGGGGGGUGCAAGCGUUAUUCGGAAUUAUUGGGCGUAAAGGGCACGCAGGCGGCCCUGUCAGUCAGAUGUGAAAGCCCGGGGCUUAACCCCGGACGUGCAUUUGAAACAGCAGGGCUUGAGUAUGGUAGAGGAGAGGGGAAUUCCUGGUGUAGAGGUGAAAUUCGUAGAUAUCAGGAGGAACACCGGUGGCGAAUGCGCCUCUCUGGGCCAAUACUGACGCUGAGGUGCGAAGGCGUGGGUAGCGAACAGGAUUAGAUACCCUGGUAGUCCACGCAGUAAACGUUGUAUACUAGGUGUAGCGGGUAUUGACUCCUGCUGUGCCGGAGCUAACGUAU
rnacentral:rRNA from 1 species